rnacentral:rRNA from 1 species
ACGGGGGGGGGACACAAGACGGUGGGAGCAGGUUGGAGUAAUUCGAUGCAACGCGAAAAACCUUACCUACCCUUGACAUGUCUGGAAUGCCGAAGAGAUUUGGUAGUGCUCGCAAGAGAACCGGAACACAGGUGCUGCAUGGCUGUCGUCAGCUCGUGUCGUGAGAUGUUGGGUUAAGUCCCGCAACGAGCGCAACCCUUGUCAUUAGUUGCUACGAAAGGGCACUCUAAUGAGACUGCCGGUGACAAACCGGAGGAAGGUGGGGAUGACGUCAAGUCCUCAUGGCCCCCUUAAUGGGUAGGGCUUCACACGUCAUACAAUGGUCGGGACCAGAGGGUCGCCAACCCGCGAGGGGAGCCAAUCCCAGAACCCCGAUCGUAGGUUCCGGAAUUCGCAGUCUGCA